GUAACAUCCGGCUCAGUAGGCUGAGCACAAAAGCAAGGUUUUGCUUUGGCCCUAGACCUAGAAGCCUGCUGAGUGAGCGCCUUGGCCCUAGAAAAGAGGAGCAGGGGGUUGUCCGGAGCCCCUCCGACCACGCUGCUCUCAGUCAGGCACCACAGACACAGGCAGAGCUGGCUAGAGGUCAGAGGCAUGGCCCCAGUGAGAAGCAGCAGCUGUGCCCUGUGAGCAGGGCCCUUCUGUGAGGCCAGCUGACCUGCCCAGGAACCUUGCUGCCCUCUGUUGUUGAGAGCUGCAGGGUUAGAGGCACCGCAUACCCUGAAGUGUGCGGGAGGCUGAACAGGUGCCAACACUCCACCCCUCACCAGCCCUGGACAGCUCACCUCGCCAACCCUCUGUUUCCUCAGCUUGUAAAAGGAAGAUAAUGCCACAUGAAAUGAUGAGGAAGCAUCUGCCCCACCCAAUUAAAACGUGCAAGAAUUAUCUCACACCUCACACCAUUCCCUGGAGUCCUGAGGACUUACCCAGAUACUCAGUAGGAUGGGAAAUUGGGGGUGAAAAAUGACAGUUAAUUGGAAGGGCAUGGCCUGCAGCCUGAGAGAAGUUGCUGAGUUUGGAAAGUAGGAAGGCGGUGAACUGGCCAAGGGAUCAUGAGUUUACAGCUUGUGACCACGAUGUAAAGGAAGGACCGGUCCCAUUCCACACCUGAUCCUUAGGGGCCUCAGGCCUCUGGGUUUGGCAGCUGGGAUUGGUAUUGUUCUGUGUCAUCCACAAUGAUCUCUGCCAAAGAGGGCCUGAAGAUACAGGCUUCCUUCCUGCUUGCCAGCUUCAGAAUGGCUCGGGUGUUCCCAGAACUGGCCAAUCUAUGCACCUAGAACUGAGGCUUGACACUCCCCAGGUUCAGGGCAGUCCUAGAAGCAAGCUAAAGCCUCUCCCCUUGGGGUAGAUCUCCAAGGCUGGCAUCCUGGGAGCUUGGUGCAUAAGGCUGAUUCACCUGCCACAGGACCUAUGAGCUCUGUGUGUGUCCCCAGUGGCAAGGGCAUUGACCCUGGGCUACCUGUCCCAGUCACAAUUCUGGACCCCUGCUCUGAGGGCUAUAUUUAGAGGAAUUGUACCCCGACUUCCCUGCCAACCUAGAGACACACACACCCUAUCUCAGGACCUCACAGGAACUCAUCCUAGUCUUCAAGUAUCAGAGUCGUUCACCCAUUUAUUCAUCCAUAUACUCAACAAAUAACUAUUAUGAAUCUCCAUGAGCCAGACACUGAACCUGGGGCUACAUCAGUAAACAAGACCAUCCCAGACUCUGCCCUCAGGAAGCUAGCCAGUGAGUGGGGAAGCUCUAUAAAGCAGACAGUUGCAAGAUCCUGUAAUUACGGUGAGAGGAAAGAGAAAUAUUUUGGGAGAUGCAUGCCAAUGACUGUGGCCUGAAGUUUGACCUUUUCUCCAUCAGGCAGUCAUAAUGGAAGAUGCUUACCCACCCCUGUCCUGGGGUAGGAGGGAUAGCAGAUGGGAUGGCAGUGUCAUUUAGAAAAUUGCCUUCAAAAUGUCUAUUUUUAUAAUGUAG
rnacentral:lncRNA from 10 species